ACCCCGGCUCCUUGGGAUAGAUGGGGAAGCUGAGGCCCAGAAGGGGGCUGAGACCACCUCCCAGUUUCCCCAGUGAGGUGGCGCCUGAGCCACGGCCAGGCCCGGCCUCCUUCCACCCGGCCCUGCUGUGCGCGCGGCGGGUGCUGACCUGGCGAGGCCGGACAGGGGACCAGGUCGGGGUGACCGUCACUGACACCUGGACAGUCCUCGUUGUGUUCGGGGUGGGAAGCCCACGGAUCUUCAGAGGGAAGGCACCAGGAGUGGACUGCGGGACACCCAGAGUGGACUGCAGGAGGACACAGAAGCUAGGCUGAAGCGGGAGGAAGCUGGGAACCCUGCACGGGGCCACUGCGCACUGGGACUCGUUACUGGUCCCCAAGACUCAGGGAGAAUGGGGAAGAGUGUAUCACAGCCAUUGGGAACUUUCUUCACCCAUCAAAGCCUCAGGGCUGAAGCAUCCUGAACAAGAACUCAGGAGAGUGAAAGAAACAGUUACCUGUCGGCUGCAGCUGGUACCAGCUCCCCACCCCGUACAGAGACCGAAGCGUCCUCUCUCUCCCCAUCACCCAGCACCAGACUCUGCCCCGCGACCUCAGCCUGCACCUGCUUCCUGGCUCCAUCCAGCCUUCCAGCCUCACUAGAUCAUCAUGGGCCACUGGCCAACACACAGGGCAGUGCCGAGCCCAGGCCGUGGUCACACAUGGCUGGGUUAGUAGCUGAAAACAUUGUUUUUCACUGGCCUCACAGUAAUGGCACCUGCCCCCAUUUUCUGUGAUUGAAUUUUUGGAUCCUGCUACCAGGUUAUGAUAGAUUUUAUGGUAUGUCUCAAGAUAUUGAGAUAAAGGUAA
rnacentral:lncRNA from 1 species